UAGGCAUUUCAAAUAUGCAGGAGGUCCAAAGGAGGAAAUCCAAACCGACGGAUGCCAGGUCAAGCCCAUGUUUCCAGAGUCGUCCUCCGAAAUAGUGUACGGUGUUGUCGCUUUUAAGCAAUGACUGUGUGAAACAUUGAGAUGCUGCUACAAGUUCUUCCGAAUUCAGGGGUCAAACACUGAGUCAAGAUCCGAAUCUGCGAUGUCAGAGACUACCGUAUUAAAAUGAGCACAUUUCUAACACAUGAGAUACUGCGAAUGCUGUAAAUCCUGUUCAACAAGCACACACACCGCUGGAGGAACUUUGCGUGUUGAUCUACAUUUAAUAACGAAUUUUGUGAACAGUACUGUGCGCCAAAAUUGCUCUGGAGCGCCCUGUCAAUUUCCUGUGCCAUCUAUUCAGGCUGAACCAAGAAUGGUGGUCCUUUUAAUGAAAUGCAUUCAUACCCUUUGGAUAACUCCCGGCUUAGAGAAGAAGGGAAGACAAAGAGACGCUGCCUGACCUGCUGAGUAUUUCCAGCAUUUUUGAAGUGAAGAAGUCUGCUGCCGGUGUUAGUUAAUCACCAGGGAUGGCCUGAAAACAGCUGAAGCCAAGGAGGAAAACCUGACAGACAUUGCACAUGUGCAGAGCUUUCUGGGAUACAUCAACUUUUUGAACAAAUUAGUGCCCCAUCAUGAGUCACUCAGAACUGGGCCAAGAAAAAUAUGGAAUUAUGUUUGAUACUCAUGAACAAGCAACAAAAUUAAUCAAUAUAAUAGUCACAGCAGGCAACAUUCCGUUGUUUUAGAUCUACUACACAAUGACAACAUCUGGUCUAAAAUGUGCUUGUUCUGUGUAUGAAAUGCUAAUCUCGGUAUGUCAGCCUAAAUUGGUAAGGUCAAUAAGGCUGGUGUUGUGCCAGAGGUCUUCUGUUUAUGUCCUUGCUUUUGAACCAGGAUUAGGGUAAUGUUGGGACUGAGGGCCCUAAAAGUGGGGCAGGGGUGGGGGCUGAUAAAUAAGUAAUAAAGGGAUGUAGAAGGGUCUGGGCAUGAAACGUUGAGUGACUAUUUACUCCUCUCCAUAGAUACUGCCUGACCUGCUGAGUUUCUCCAGAACGCAAUAUGUGUCACUCUGGAUUUCCGGCAUAUGAAGAAUUUUUUUUGUGUUUAUAAAUUAAAGGGAACCUACCUGCACUAGGUUUGCAGAACCCAUUCAUCAUCUGGUUGGGGAGAAUUCCUUAAAAUUGUACCACUACAGGUUAAGCACCACUAUUCUAAAUCUAGCUUGGAUGGCAAUCUUAGAUAAGAAGAAAUUGAUGCAAAGUGCAGACUACUUUCUCCCAGCAACACUCUAACCGAGUGAUAUAGAGGGAAUGACAUCCUUUUGUGUUCAUCUGACACGGAAGAUGAAUCAUUUUUGCAUGUACGAAUAGUGGCAGAGAGUACUCUGAUUAAUGGAGUGAUGUAGUUUAAAAUUUUAAAACAGACCCAGCUGCAUUUUCUUCCUGUUCUCAGUAGUAUUCAGACAGCCAUCUGAUUGAACUGUGUGGAGAAGAUGCCCCCAGAAAGCUGCUUUGAAGUGGUGUGAUAUAAUUUGAGUCGAUGUAGAAAGGCAGCAACGAAUCAAGAAUGCUAGUGAAGAACUGGAAACACUUACAAGCCACACCAGGUAAAAUGACCUAAAGUAGGUUCUUCUGAUUAUUUACAAAGAUCGUCCAGAUUACAUGCGCUUUGUUAAAAAGUGCAGGCCAAAAUGCAAAUACCCUGCUAUGGGCCUGGACAUUGGUAAUUAACCUCAAACUUAUCUGUGUACACAUGACCAGGUCUUUCAGGAAAGAGAUGCAGGGUCAGAGAUUACACAUGCACAACUGACACAGGAGUGGCAAAUGCAGUAAUUUGAGUCUAGCCUGCAGCCUGAAAUGUCUCAAGGUCAGCUCUCUGGAUAUCUAGAUCGCCAUUGCUAAAGUUCAUGAUAGAAACUGCUAGGUUUUAGCAUCAGUACGAAUGAUGUUAGUUUCUUUUACAAAGGACCAAGCUGUUAACAAUUUACAUCAAUGAUUCGAAAGAGGAGUGCAAGUGUAGUAUAUCAUCAUUAUCUGAUUACACUAAGCUGGACAUGCUCUAUUCUCGCUGCUACCAUCAGGAAGAAGGUAUAGGAGCCUUGGGAUACACACCAACAGGUUCAUGAAUGGUUAUUACCCCUCAACCAUCAGGCUCUUGAACCAAAAGGGAUAACUUCACUUGCCCCAUCAUUGAAAUGUUCCCACAACCUAUGGAAUCAUUUUCCAUCUCAUGUUCUCAAUACUUAUUGCUUAUUUAUUUACUAUUAUUUAUUUCUUUUCAUAUUUAUGCAGUUUGUUGUCUUUUGCAUAGUGGUUGAACAAAAGACAAAUGACCUUUCAUUGAUUCUAUUAUGGAUUUAAUAGGUAUGCCCGCAAGAAAAUUAAUCUCAGGGUUGUAUAUGGUGACAGACAUGUGCUUUGAUAAUAAAUUUACUUUGAACUUUGAAUGACAGUAAGGAAAAUACAGGGUAUUUAGAGAAUAUUGGGAAUACAGAUAGGCUAAGAGUAUGGAUGAUAGCAUGGUCAAAAAGGUCAUCAAUAUCUCUACAUCCUCAGGUGGAUUUAAAAGUUUGGUAUGACCCGUAGACCAUUACCAAUUUUUCUUGAUGCACAUAUAAAGCAUCCUAUCUGGAUGCAUCAUGGCUUUGUAAGUCAACUGUUACGGACAUGCCUCAGCAUUUGGAAACCCAGCCUCCCUUCCAUGGACCAUCUGUACUUCUCACUGCCUCAGUAAAGUAGCCAGCCUUAUUAAAGACCUCACCUACCUGAGAUAUUCUUUCUUCUUGUCUCUCCCAUUGGACAGAAGAUACAAAAGCCUGAAAGCGCAUACUUUCAAGUUCAAGUUUAUUGUCAUCUGACUGUACACUUUUAUAACCAAAUGAAACAACGUUCCUUAGGACCUCGGUGCACCCUCAAAACAUGCAUCACACACAACACCUAAAAACAACUUAUUGCUAUAAACAAGUUCAUAAAAUACAAUUCAAAGUGCAUUUAGUGCACAGUACAGGUAAAGUAAACAGCUUGCUAUCCUAGUGAUGAGACCUUGGUGGUGGCUGGGUAUUCAUUAAUUUCACAGCCUGAGGGAAGAAGCUGUUCCCCAAUCUGGCAGUCCUGGUCCUGCACCUCCUUCCUGAUGGUCAGAGAUUGUGGGAUUGGUGGUAGGGGUCCUCAACAAUGCUUCAGGGCCCUUCCUCUACAACAGGCUCAAGGACAGAUUCUAUCCCUCUGUUGUAAGAUUAUUGAAUGAUUCCCUAGUAUGAGAUGGCUCCUGGCCUCACUAUCUACCUCAUUAUGUUCUUGCACCUUACCGUUUACCUGCACCACACUUUUUCAGUAGUGCUUACACUUUAUUUAUUGUUUUUUGUUUUACUUUAUUCAAGUUCAAUGGACUGCAUAUUGAUUUGAUCUGUUUAAACAGAUGCAAGACAAGCCUGUUACAAUAAUAACCUCUAAUGAGCUCUUUAGGCUUGUGCACCUGAAUUGGUUAAUUGUUGUUUUACAAGAGUUGUCAAUCGAUUAGAGUUCCUUGUGUUUUACUCAGAGGACUCGCUCUUUGUAAUGAGGACUCCAGGUGCUUUCUGUUCAAGCUUGUUAAGUUUAUUUUGAUAGGCACUGAGAUUCUGUGUUAACUGCAUUAUUUAAGCAGAUGCCUGAUUAGCAGUAAUCGUGUGGUCCUAGUUUAGAGAAUGUAACAUCUCAUGGUGCCACUCAGUUGAGCCAUCGAUGUUCUGUUGGAGUUCUUAUAAAUAAACCCUGG